CCUACGGGUGGCAGCAGUGGGGAAUAUUGCACAAUGGGGGGAACCCUGAUGCAGCGACGCCGCGUGAGUGAAGAAGUAUUUCGGUAUGUAAAGCUCUAUCAGCAGGGAAGAAAAUGACGGUACCUGACUAAGAAGCCCCGGCUAACUACGUGCCAGCAGCCGCGGUAAUACGUAGGGGGCAAGCGUUAUCCGGAUUUACUGGGUGUAAAGGGAGCGCAGACGGCUGUGCAAGUCUGGAGUGAAAGGCGGGGGCACAACCCCCGGACUGCUCUGGAAACUGUAAAGCUGGAGUGCAGGAGAGGUAAGCGGAAUUCCUAGUGUAGCGGUGAAAUGCGUAGAUAUUAGGAGGAACACCAGUGGCGAAGGCGGCUAACUGGACUGAAACUGACGUUGAGGCUCGAAAGCGUGGGGAGCAAACAGGAUUAGAUACCCUGGUAGUC
rnacentral:rRNA from 1 species